ensembl:lncRNA
AGAAAGUAAAGAAAAUAAAGAAAAUAACGAAAAUAAAGAAAAUAGCGAAAAUAAAGAAAAUAACGAAAAUAAAGAAAAUAACGAAAAUAAAGAAAAUAACGAAAAUAACGAAAAUAACGAAAAUAACGAAAAUAACGAAAAUAAAGAAAGUAAAGAAAGUAAAGAAAAUAAAGAAAAUAACGAAAAUAACGAAAAUAAAGAAAAUAAAGAAAGUAAAGAAAAUAAAGAAAAUAAAGAAAAUAACAAAAACAACGAUAGCAACGAAAAUAACGAGAUGACUUCUAACACCGUUAUUAAUAAUAAUAACAUAACUAAAGAGAAAGAUAAAAUAAAUAUUGAGGAAACACAAAAAAAUAUAAAACACACAAAUAACAUGAAAAUAAUAAAAUUAUAUGAACAGAAAUUAGAAACAUACGGAACAAAUGUUACCAACGAAUUAAACACUGAUAACUAUCAUAAUACGAAUAAACGUACUCGUAGAAACAGUAGAAGAAGUAGCAAUAGUAGAAGAAGUAGCGACAGUAGUAAUAGUAGCGACAGUAAUAACAACAGUGUUAACACUAAAAUGAGAAAAAACAUUUCGAAUAUAUUUAAAGAAAAACCUUCAUCUAAGCCUAAAAUCAUAAAAGAAAUACAAAAAACAGAAGGAGUAAGAAAUGAAAAGAACUCAAUAAAUACAACAUGUAAAGAUACUAGUUAUGAAAAUAAAGAAGAUAUAAACAACAACAACAGUAACAACAACAAUAACAACAACAAUAACAACAACAGUAACAAUAAUAGUAACAAUAAUAGUAAUAGUAAUAGUAACAACAACAACAACAAUAACAGUAACAGUAAUAGUAACAAAAAUGGCAAUAACACAAUCAACAAUAAUAACAUCAUUUGUGCUAAAAAUAUAAAUAACACAAAAAAAACAAAAAAUACAUUAAAAGAAGGAAGUUUAUUAAGACUAUUUCGAUGUGAAUAUUUCGACACACAUCUACACAUAAGAUACUUAUAUGAUAGAAAAGAAGUAGGUGUACAUGAAUACCUUGUAAAUUCAUUGUAUACCCAAAGAAAACAUGAAGAUAUUUUAUUUUAUUUACCUCAAUUAUGUCAUAUUUCAUUAUUAAGAUAUGAAUAUUCUUCACUUUAUCGAUUUUUAAUUGAUAAAGCUAGUAAAUCUAUGCACUUUGCUUUAAAACUUAGUUGGAUUUAUCAUUCAAUUGUUGAAGAUAAUAGUAGUAAGUAUAGAGAAUUAGCACAAAAAAUGAUUCAAGAAAUAGAAAUGGCUGUAGUUAAUUGUAAACCAUUUUUAAACAAUGAAUAUACAGGUAUAACAGAAAAUAAACAAGCACAUUUAUAUUAUUUAGCCUAUCCUUUUUUAUUUAAAAGAAAAUAUAUUAUUAACAAAAUAAAAUUAAAUGAAAAAAUAAAUAAAAUAAAAAAAAUAAAUAAAUGUUUAAAUAAUUCUUGCGAUUCUUAUAUACUGAAAAAUCUUCUUAAUAAAGAAGUACCUUCUUCUAAUAUCGAACAAGAAAUUUCAUUUUGGAAUAAUUACAGAAAAAAUAUGAAUACUGUAUCUAACACCACUUUCAAUAUUGAUAAAAAAACGGAUAAACAUAAAAUAAAUACAGAAAAAGGUUGUAUAAUGACAGACGAUAAAAAUAGUACUACAACUGAACAGGGUUUACCGAAUAUGAACAGUAACAAUACAGCCACAAUGUUUAACAAAGAGCGAAAGAAGCAAAAAGAGCGAAAAAAAAAAGGCCACGGUCAUGGUCACAACCACAACCAUGAAAAUAAAAAAAAUGAUACAAAGUGCGAUACGCUGAAAAGUAACAAAAAAACAGUUAAUAAUACUGUAGCUAAACUUCCAUCUUGUUACAUUUUAAACUCUGGACAAAUAUCAAUUACUUCUGCCAAAGUAAAAUUACCAAAUACUUAUUCAAAACUUGGAAGUCCAUUAAGUGUAUCAAAGUUUUCUAUACCUGAUUUAAAUUAUUCAUUUGACAUGGUAGAAGAGUUACAACAAUUUUUUAUGAAACAACGUAGAUGUGAUUAUUUUAGCCUAUUAAAUAAUUUUAUUAAUUUAACUAUUUUAGUUUCUAAUUUGUUAUCAGCAGAACCUGAUUUGGAUAUACGAAAUAAUUUAUUAAAACGAUUUAUUCAUUCAUUAAAUAGUUGGAUGAUUAUGCGUAGAUGUACAGUAGCAUCCUGUGAAAAUAUUUUUUCAAUGACAGGUUUAUACAUUCCACUUGAAUGUCUUUCAUCACAUCACAACCAAAUAAAUGAAAAAGAAACUUAUACAAAUUAUAACAAUUUACAAAUACUUUAUUUUAAUUAUGAAGAAUGUAAAAUAUUUUUUUCAAAAAAAAGAGCUCCAUAUUUAUUAAUGUUUGAAGUAGCUGAUUUGGAUGAAGAUAUAAGUUUUAUGUCCGAUACAUUUUUUUAUAAUAACAAAAAUGAUUAUAUGAAAUAUCAUUAUAAUUUACCAAAUAACACUAGUAACACUAAUAAUACCACUAAUAAUACCAC